rfam:Bifidobacterium gallinarum strain LMG 11586 Contig07, whole genome shotgun sequence.
GCCCCUGUAGCUCAGUGGGUUAGAGCGGCGAUCUUAUAAGUCGUUGGUCACGGGUUCAAGUCCCGUCGGGGGUA